UAGUCCACGCUGUAAACGAUGAGUGUUAGGUGUCUGGGAUAACCUGGGUGCCACAGCUAACGCAAUAAACACUCCGCCUGGGGAGUACGCACGCAAGUGUGAAACUCAAAGGAAUUGACGGGGACCCGCACAAGCAGCGGAGCAUGUGGUUUAAUUCGAUGCAACGCGAAGAACCUUACCAGGGCUUGACAUAAAAGUGACGAGGGAUAGAGAUAUGCCUCUUCUCUUCGGAGACAGUUUUAC
rnacentral:rRNA from 1 species